rnacentral:rRNA from 1 species
AACAAGGUUUCCGUAGGUGAACCUGCGGAAGGAUCAUUACCGAGUUGAUUCGGGCUCCGGCCCGAUCCUCCCACCCUUUGUGUACCUACCUCUGUUGCUUUGGCGGGCCGCGGUCCUCCGCGGCCGCCCCCUCCCCGGGGGUGGCCAGCGCCCGCCAGAGGACCAUCAAACUCCAGUCAGUAAACGAUGCAGUCUGAAAAAUAUUCAAUAAACUAAAACUUUCAACAACGGAUCUCUUGGUUCUGGCAUCGAUGAAGAACGCAGCGAAAUGCGAUAAGUAAUGUGAAUUGCAGAAUUCAGUGAAUCAUCGAAUCUUUGAACGCACAUUGCGCCCUUUGGUAUUCCGAAGGGCAUGCCUGUUCGAGCGUCAUUACAACCCUCAAGCUCUGCUUGGUAUUGGGCACCGUCCUUUGCGGGCGCGCCUCAAAGACCUCGGCGGUGGCGUCUUGCCUCAAGCGUAGUAGAACAUACAUCUCGCUUCGGAGCGCAGGGCGUCGCCCGCCGGACGAACCUUCUGAACUUUUCUCAAGGUUGACCUCGGAUCAGGUAGGGAUACCCGCUGAACUUAAGCAUAUCAAUAAGCGGAGGA